UAUGUGAUCGUCUCUCGCAUAUCAAUAAGCGGAGGAAAAGAAACUAACAAGGAUUCCCUUAGUAACGGCGAGUGAAGCGGGAAGAGCUCAAAUUUGAAAUCUUCAAGGUUUUACCUUGACGAAUUGUAGUUUAAAGAAGUGUUUUCUGUUGAAGUUUUGGUAAAAGUUCUUUGGAAUAGGACAUCAUAGAGGGUGAGAAUCCCGUAUUUGACCAUUAUUUUCAGCUGUGUGAUACACUUUCAAAGAGUCGGAUUGUUUGGGAAUGCAGUCCAAAAUGGGUGGUAAAUUUCAUCUAAAGCUAAAUAUUGGCGAGAGACCGAUAGCGAACAAGUACCGUGAGGGAAAGAUGAAAAGAACUUUGAGAAGAGAGUUAAACAGUACGUGAAAUUGUCAAAAGGGAAGCGUUUGACACCAGUGUUGUUUUCUCGAAGAUCAAUUAAAAAAGGCGUGAUUUUGUGUUGUAUUGACCUUAAUCAGCUUUCUGCACUCCUUUCUUGUCUUUUUUUAAUGCACUUUUCGUUUAACAAGUCAACAUCAGUUUCUUUUGUCGUAAAAGGGUCAUUGGAAGGUGGCUUUCUUUUCGGAGAAAGUGUUUAGUAGCCUUUGGCCUCUGCAAUCGGAGAGAUUGAGGUCUGCAGCGUAGAUCCUUCGGGGUUAGAUACAUUUGUGCUAAGUUAUAGCCUUUUCAUAGACAACUUGUUGACUAUGAUCAGUCAUGUAGCUUACUCGCUUAUGCUAUUUUACCUACGCUUAGGAUGUUGACGAUCAGCUGAGCGCG
rnacentral:rRNA from 1 species